GACGAACGCUGGCGGCGUGCUUAACACAUGCAAGUCGAACGGAAAGGCCCUGCUUUUGUGGGGUGCUCGAGUGGCGAACGGGUGAGUAACACGUGAGUAACCUGCCCUUGACUUUGGGAUAACUUCAGGAAACUGGGGCUAAUACCGGAUAGGAGCUCCUGCUGCAUGGUGGGGGUUGGAAAGUUUCGGCGGUUGGGGAUGGACUCGCGGCUUAUCAGCUUGUUGGUGGGGUAGUGGCUUACCACGGCUUUGACGGGUAGCCGGCCUGAGAGGGUGACCGGCCACAUUGGGACGGAGAUACGGCCCAGACUCCUACGGGAGGCAGCAGUGGGGAAUAUUGCACAAUGGGCGGAAGCCUGAUGCAGCAACGCCGCGUGCGGGAUGACGGCCUUCGGGUUGUAAACCGCUUUCGCCUGUGACGAAGCGUGAGUGACGGUAAUGGGUAAAGAAGCACCGGCUAACUACGUG
rnacentral:rRNA from 1 species